rnacentral:rRNA from 1 species
UACGUAGGGCGCAAGCGUUGUCCGGAAUUAUUGGGCGUAAAGAGCUCGUAGGCGGUCAGUCGCGUCUGCUGUGAAAACUCGAGGCUCAACCUCGGGCUUGCAGUGGGUACGGGCUGACUAGAGUGCGGUAGGGGUGACUGGAAUUCCUGGUGUAGCGGUGGAAUGCGCAGAUAUCAGGAGGAACACCGAUGGCGAAGGCAGGUCACUGGGCCGAUACUGACGCUGAGGAGCGAAAGCGUGGGGAGCGAACAGG